rnacentral:lncRNA from 1 species
AUGCCAAUGGCCACUGGAGGAAGAACUAUCUACUCUACCUGGAGAGCCUAAAGAUCAAAAAGGAUGAUAAACCUUCAGAAGGUAUGCUCGUAAUUAAAUCUAGCCUUACGAUUUCUUCUACUUCUAGUUGGGUAUUGGACUCUGGUUCAAGUACUCAUAUAUAUACCUCAAUGUAGGGUCUAAUAGAAAGUAAGAGAUUGAGAGAAGGUGACAUGAUCCUUC